rnacentral:lncRNA from 1 species
AGUGCCAGUGUCAUAAUUGUCCUCAAAUAUGAGAUGCUGAAAGCCAGCUUUUAGUGCCUGCUUAAAUCUGUCCAACAGAGUGAGAAUGAAAACCAGAACUAUUGCUGAAGUAUAAAAGAAUCAGAUAGAAAUGAAUAAUAGGGCUUUUAAACUGCAUGUCUCGAACUCGCAUGCUUGACAUGACAUAUUUACAAAGUUGACAAUUAGGAUGUGUUUGAAAGCACAAUGAUAAAUUACCAUGGGGAAGAAACUACUAAAAGAUCUACUAGAAGGAAGGUAGCACAAAAUAAUGCAUGCAUAGCCCCUCAAGAUUACAAUAACAAAAGAAUCGAGCACAGAAACCAUGGAGAAAUCAUGAUUUGACAAAUAUUUAGGCCAAUGUCACAUAAAAUCUAAAACUUGUGCAAACAUAGUAAGGAUUAAUUGCAUCCCUCAAAUAAGAAGUCAGAUCCUAGCAAGGAGAAUAGAUACUUUUUCAACUCACUUUGAUAGUUAUUCAAAGAAGACAAGAACCCAUCUGAGAUCUGAAAUCCCAUGUUUUCCAUGAUGCUUCCCUAAUCAACACUCCCAAAGUCCAGAAAAUCCUCCCUGGAAAUAUAUGUGCAGUUCUUAUCCACAUAAGCAGGCCCCUUCCUCAAAAACUUCCGGGGGAGAGGCAAAAGUGUUAUGAUUGGCUUCUCCGGCAUUGCCUACCAUAAGACUUGUUGUGGUAUAGGUGGGAAGAGCAUCUUUAGUCCCAUAUCGAUUAUAAGUCAAGAAGGAGUAUGUCUUAUAUAGAUUGGAACCUCCUCUCCCACGUGAGAUGGCCAUUUAAAAGGCAAAACCAUGCAGCCCCAUGCGAUAGCGCCAGAGACAAGAACGGAUUUAUGUAUAUCCAAGGGGUGUCCAGAGACACCCCUUCGCUUAAGAAAAUAUAUAUAUAUGAUACUAUAUAUGCAUAUAUUUUAUAUAUGGGACACUACUUUUUUAAUGUAAAGGAUACCCCUAGUUCCCAGCUUUGAAAAUUGAAACUCACCAGGCCACCAGCGGCCGGCCUCUUCAACUUUUUUCUUUUUCCACCAACCAAAGCCUACUUUUUUUUGUUUAAAAACCCAAUUGCCCAAGCGCCUAAUUAAUGAAUGAACCCUCCCUCUCCCUCUCUCUCUCACGAAUGACGAACAGACGAACGCAGCCAAUGACUUUUUUUUUAAAAAACCCUAUGCGCCUAAUUAAUGAAUCAAGUCUCAACCCUCUUGCUCCCUUUCUCUCAAGAACGUCUCUCUAAGGAAUGACGAACAGAACAGACGCAGCUCGACAGCUGCCGCCUCCAUCCUCCGACCUCUCUCGCUCUCUUGUGUACUCGUUGCAGCCCUAUAAUUUGAUUAUUCUACUAUUUUAUAUCAAUCAGGUACUCUCUCGAUCAUGUUAGUAUUAUCUAAUAUUUAUUUAUUUAUUUGCUAGAAUUUUAAUAUGAUUAUAUGAAAUUGUCUAUUAAAAGUCUGAUUUUGUGGUUUGGUUGAAUAGUUAAUUGAUGUUUAAUUGAAUAGUUAAUUGAUGUUUAUUUGAACAGUUAAAUUAUGGUGAGAUACUUCAAAAAAAAAUUCAUUAUCAUAAAGCUCAUCUUAAUGUCAAGAUGGAGCAAGUGGAAGUGGUUCUAAUCCUAGUCCUCAAACAAAUUCUAAUGAAAUUUAAAUUGAUUUUGAAAAUUUUUCUGCUGAUCCAGCGAAGAGAAAAAGAAUUUCUGAUUAUCAUCUUAAUAAGCGAGAUGAAGUUAGAAGAAGAUACCUACAAAAAGAUCUUUCUCAAUCUCGAAAUCAUGCUUUUCCACAAAAAUCAAUUGGAGGAAAAUUGCGUAGAUUUAAUCCAGAUUGGUUUGAUCAAUAUUCAAAUUGGUUGGAAUAUAGUAUGAAAAAAAAUGCAGCUUUUUGUUUAUGUUGCUACUUAUUUAAACCUGAAAGAAAAAAAGGUGGGGCAGAUGCUUUUGUUUUGGAUGGAUUUUCAUAUUGGAAUAAAAAAGAUACAUUGGAUCUUCAUAUUGGUUCAUGUAACAGUUUUCAUAAUCAAGCCAUUAAAAAAUGUGAAGAUUUAAUGAAAGAGCAGCAAUCCAUCCAAGUGACUAUCUAUAAACAAUCAGAGCAAGAAUGAAUAUCGGCUUAAAUUGUAUAUUUCAACUACGUGUGCAAGAUUUUUGUUGCAUCAACGAAUACCUUUUCAUGGUGAUGAUGAAUCAGAAGAUUCAAAUAAUAGAGAAAAUUUUUUUGAACUUGUGAAACUUGCUGCCAAAUUGAAUAUGGAUAUAGAUGCUGUUGUAUUGAAAAAUGCCCCAGGUAAUCAACAAAUGGUAGCCCCUAGUAUCCAAAAAGACCUUGCAAAUGCAGCUGCAAAAGAGACAAUUAAUUUGAUCAUUGAGGAUCUUAGAGAUAAUUUAUUUAGGAUAUUGGUUGAUGAAUCUAGUGAUAUAUCUGAAAAAGAAUAAAUGACAUUUGCGAUACGUUAUGCUGAUAAAAUGAGAAUUGUCAAGAAACAUUUUAUUGGCAUUGUACAUGUUGCUAAUACUUGUGUUACAUCCUUAAAAGCAGCAAUUGAUUCUAUACUCUUGGAGCAUAUAUUGAGUGUAUCUAGAAUACAGGGACAGGGUUAUGAUAGAGUCAGUAAUAUGUAAGAGGUAUUCAAUGGUCUUAAAUUUUUUAUAUUGAGAGAUAAUGAAUCAGCAUAUUAUGUGCAUUGUUUUACUCAUCAGCUUCAACUGACAACUGUGGCUACUGCAAAGAAGCAUAUUGAUGUUAUUUGAUUUUUUGACUCGAUCUCUCAUGUAACUAAUGUAAUUGGAGCUUUUUGUAAGAAGAAAGAUGUACUUCGCGAGAGGCAUGCCAUGAGAAUUGUAGAGGCGAUAAGCAAUCGUGAAAUUGAAACUGAGACAGGAUUGAAUCAAGAACUUUCUCUUAGAAGAGCAGGUGAUAUACGAUGGAGAUCCCAUUAUAAAUCACUUUUGACCUUGAUUGAGUUGUUUCUAGAUGUGAUUGAUGUUUUCGAGUUUAUCUUUCUUUAUUCUCAUAAUUCAAUGCAUCAAAAAGAAGCACAUUCUUUUGUGAGAUCAUUACGCUCAUUUGAUUUUGCUUUUAUUUUACAUUUAAUGUUUGACAUUUUGGGGAUAACAGAUGAGUUAUCAAAGAGUUUGCUAAGAGAAGAUCUAGAUAUUAUCAAUGCAAUGAAACUUGUGAAUGUGUCUAAGCAAAGAUUGCAGAAGAUGAGAGAUGAUGAAUGGGAUAUUCUUUUAGAGAAGUCUAUCAGUUUUGUUAUCAUCAUGAUCUUGACAUCCUUGAUAUGGAUGAUGUUUAUGUACAAGAAGAAACAUCAAAGCGUAAAGCUCCACAUGUUACUAACAUGCAUCACCACCAUGUAGAUGUGUUUUAUACGGUGAUAGAUAUACAACUUUGUGAGCUAAAUAAUCAUUUCAAUGAGAUAAACACCGAGUUACUUCAUUGUGUGGCAUGCCUAAGUUUCAAAAAUUUAUUCAGAGCUUUUGAUUCCAGAAAGUUGAUGAAGAUGGCAGAAUUUUAUUCCAAUGAAUUUUCUCGUAUUGAUAUUAGAGCCUUUGAGCAUCAACUUAAAAACUAUAUUUUUGAUGUAUAAUCACAUGAAAUAUUUGUUGAUCUUUAGGGGCUUGGUGAUCUUUUAAGAAAGUUAGUGGAGACAAAGAAACAUUUUUUUAAUCCUUUGGUAUAUAUGCUUUUGAAGCUUGCAUUGAUUUUGCCAAUUGCAACUGCUAGUGUGGAAAGAGCUUUUUCUGCAAUGAAUUAUGUCAAAAGCAGAUUAUAAAAUCGAAUGUGUGAUCAAUUUCUAAAUGAUUGUUUAGUGACAUACAUAGAAAAAAAUGUAUUUGAAAAUGUUAUGGAUGAAACUAUUAUAUUCCGUUUUCAAAACAUGAGAACUCGUAAAGGAGAAUUGUAUUGAAUGCAUAUUAUUUUAAUACUUGUUUUGAUGUAAUUGUAAGACGACUGCUUUGAAUGAAUUUUAUUUUAUUAAUAAUUUUUAUUUAAUUAUAAAAAUGUACUAUUAUCUUGUAUACUUCAUUAUUUUUAGUAUUUUAUGAAAUAAAUAUUUAUCAAAGGGACACCCUUUUGAAAAUUUUUUGGAUCCGUCUUUGGUCAGAGACCCAAACAGACAAUACCUCACAUAUGCGAGUGCGGAGGCAUAAGCCAACCGUCUGAGCCAUCCGAUCCCUUGAUCCAGAACCGCAACAUUGAUGCUGUCCAUGGGAUAAGCCUCAUGCCCACAUGCACAUACUAUCUCUUAAUCGGGGCGCUAUAUUGUGGUAUAGGUGGGAAAAGCAUAUUUAGUUCCAUAUCGGUUAUGAGUCAAGAGGGAGGAUGACUUAUCACUUAUAUGAAUUGAAACUUUCUCUCCCAUAUGAGACGUCUUUUAAGAGACAAAAUUAUGCGGCUUCGUAUGACAGCACCAGAGACCAAAGCGGACAAUACCCCAUAUAUGUAGGCGUGGAGUCAACCCCUCUAUCUGAGCCAUCGACACUUUGACCCAUGGCCGCAACAGGACCCAUGUGGAGUGCCCCUUGAAAACGCCACUUUCUAUCAUCAGAUCUGGUUUGAAGCUCAUCACAUACUUGUUGUCCUUGAUUGGAUGGGUUUCAUAUAUUGGAACAAAUUCUUCCAAGACUUUGAGCAGAUCCUUGGUAGUCCAUUCCACUGUUUUUCCAUAUUUUCAUCUGCCUUUUGCUAGGAACAAGAAUUAAGGACGUACCGCAAAAGUAAAAACAAUGUAACAAGAACCCACAGCAAGCUGCAUGAUUGAUGAUCAAAUCAGUGCCAUUUGUUUGUAUGACUGUAAACACUAUAUGAGCGCAUUAUAUUCAAACCUCGAUAAGGAGCAUCCGACAGAAUGCUCACCAAGUGAUCAUUAUAAUAACAAGUAAUGUUGAAGUUUUCUUGCAUGUAAGGAGGACAAUCAAAAGAAAUACAGUACGUAGGAGAAGUAAAUAUAAAAACUACAAGAAAACUCUAUGAUUCAAUUGUAAUGUCAUCAAAUGCAUCGAGAGGGGGGGGGGAUCUUAAACGCGAAUCAGUCCAAGAUCCUAACGAGUUGGCGAGGCGAAAAUCCAAAUCAACAAUCGGGGCAUGAAACACAAGAAAGAAAUCAAGAACUCAUCGGAUAAUCCACGAAAGAGGCAAAUGGAAACGCCAUAUCAAUCAAGAAUCCAUGCUUUCGGAAACCCAGAUAAGGUAGGGCGGAAAGAAAGAGGCUUACACCAGGGCACGCCGAGGGCGAAUUCGGAGGCGAGGCUGUCGACCGAAGGAGUCACGCAGGAGACGGACUCGAAUGAGGAAGAGGCGCAGACGAGGGUCUGAGAGGGGUAGAAGAAGACGGCGGCGAGGAAGACGAGUUGGAGGAGGGAGGCGAAGACGAGGCUUCGUGUCUCGUUCUCGGGGAGCCAGGUGGAGGCGUGCUUCUUUCGCGCGAAAGAUACAACCCGAACCAAAAGGGGCAGUAGGUCGGUGAUCGGGGGAAACCGCCCGCGGUGUUGGUUAGUUCACCGCUCCA